AGGCAUUUCACUGAAGAUGUGGGCAAUGGCGAAGCUGAGGCCUCUACUGCUUCUACAGCACAGCAUUUGACCACAGGUGUGGGCGACAGAGAUGCUGAGGCCGCCGCCUAUACUGCUUCGAACGAUCAAGAUGCUGAGGCCUGUACUGCUUCGAAUGACAGAAUGAACCAACCACCUGUCCCAAGCUCUCCACCUGAGGAGCCAGUAGAGGGACGGCUACAGGACAGUCCGACAUCAGACCAGAUCCCAUCAAAGGAGCAAGUCGAAUUACUGCUUCUGGCAUUCAAACUCAAACAUGGAAUAACACACAGAGCUUUAGAGGACGUUAUGAAACUUAUUAACUUUAGUGGUGGUCCUUCAGUUAGUGGGUCCAAGUACAUGUUCUACAAGUCCUUUGAUACAGUUAAAGACGUAUUGGAAGUACACUAUGUGUGCAAAAUCUGCAACCUGAGCAUGGAGGAAUCUCCUGACACCGUCAAGUGCCCAGUCUGUGACCAGGUCAUCUCAAAAGUAGAUGCACAAAAAGAUCAAUGCUUUUUAUACCUGCCUCAAAAAGUCAAA